GAUGAAGAACGUAGCGAAAUGCGAUAAGUAAUGUGAAUUGCAGAAUUCAGUGAAUCAUCGAAUCUUUGAACGCACAUUGCGCCCGCCAGUAUUCUGGCGGGCAUGCCUGUUCGAGCGUCAUUACAACCCUCAGGCCACCGGGCCUGGCGUUGGGGAUCGGCGGAAGCCCCCUGCGGGCACAACGCCGUCCCCCAAAUACAGUGGCGGUCCCGCCGCAGCUUCCAUUGCGUAGUAGCUAACACCUCGCAACUGGAGAGCGGCGCGGCAACGCCGUAAAACACCCAACUUCUGAAUGUUGACCUCGAAUCAGGUAGGAAUACCCGCUGAACUUAAGCAUAUCAUAAGCGGAGGA
rnacentral:misc_RNA from 1 species